rnacentral:misc_RNA from 1 species
AGCGAGUGUUCAGAUUGAUUAAUUCUUUUUUUUUUCCCCCUUUUUUUUUCAAUAUCCAUUGUAAUUGGUUGUUUGACUUACCACUUAAGUCCAAUAAGUUGAAUAACACUGGGCAAUUUCCAAUACUCCUAACCAUGGUAAUUGCAGACCAAACCUUCUGGUACUCCUCCCGUGAGGUUCUGAUAAUACACAGCUUUGUGAUGGGAUUCACAUACUUUACUUGUAAUGAUCCAAGUGAUGAAGCCAAAC